rnacentral:rRNA from 1 species
UACGUAGGGGGCAAGCGUUGUCCGGAUUUAUUGGGCGUAAAGAGCGUGUAGGCGGCUUUACAGGUCCGUUGUGAAAACUCGAGGCUCAACCUCGAGACGCCGGUGGAAACCGUAAGGCUAGAGUCCGGAAGAGGAGAGUGGAAUUCCUGGUGUAGCGGUGAAAUGCGCAGAUAUCAGGAAGAACACCCGUGGCGAAGGCGGCUCUCUGGGACGGUACUGACGCUGAGGAGCGAAAGCCAGGGGAGCAAACGGG